GCCUCCGUGGAUUAGCGGUAAAUCGCCCUGGCUUUGUUCGUGAAUUUCUGAAAAAGUUCACAGGGAGACGCGGGUUCGAGCCCCGCCGGAGGCA